rnacentral:rRNA from 1 species
GACGAACGCUGGCGGCGUGCUUAACACAUGCAAGUCGAACGGAAAGGCCCUGCUUUUGUGGGGUGCUCGAGUGGCGAACGGGUGAGUAACACGUGAGUAACCUGCCCUUGACUUUGGGAUAACUUCAGGAAACUGGGGCUAAUACCGGAUAGGAGCUCCUGCUGCAUGGUGGGGGUUGGAAAGUUUCGGCGGUUGGGGAUGGACUCGCGGCUUAUCAGCUUGUUGGUGGGGUAGUGGCUUACCAAGGCUUUGACGGGUAGCCGGCCUGAGAGGGUGACCGGCCACAUUGGGACUGAGAUACGGCCCAGACUCCUACGGGAGGCAGCAGUGGGGAAUAUUGCACAAUGGGCGGAAGCCUGAUGCAGCAACGCCGCGUGCGGGAUGACGGCCUUCGGGUUGUAAACCGCUUUCGCCUGUGACGAAGCGUGAGUGACGGUAAUGGGUAAAGAAGCACCGGCUAACUACGUGCCAGCAGCCGCGGUGAUACGUAGGGUGCGAGCGUUGUCCGGAUUUAUUGGGCGUAAAGGGCUCGUAGGUGGUUGAUCGCGUCGGAAGUGUAAUCUUGGGGCUUAACCCUGAGCGUGCUUUCGAUACGGGUUGACUUGAGGAAGGUAGGGGAGAAUGGAAUUCCUGGUGGAGCGGUGGAAUGCGCAGAUAUCAGGAGGAACACCAGUGGCGAAGGCGGUUCUCUGGGCCUUUCCUGACGCUGAGGAGCGAAAGCGUGGGGAGCGAACAGGCUUAGAUACUCUGGUAGUCCACGCUGUAAACGGUGGGUACUAGGUGUGGGGUCCAUUCCACGGGUUCCGUGCCGUAGCUAACGCUUUAAGUACCCCGCCUGGGGAGUACGGCCGCAAGGCUAAAACUCAAAGGAAUUGACGGGGCCCCGCACAAGCGGCGGAGCAUGCGGAUUAAUUCGAUGCAACGCGUAGAACCUUACCUGGGUUUGACAUGGAUCGGGAGUGCUCAGAGAUGGGUGUGCCUCUUUUGGGGUCGGUUCACAGGUGGUGCAUGGCUGUCGUCAGCUCGUGUCGUGAGAUGUUGGGUUAAGUCCCGCAACGAGCGCAACCCUUGUUCACUGUUGCCAGCACGUUAUGGUGGGGACUCAGUGGAGACCGCCGGGGUCAACUCGGAGGAAGGUGGGGAUGACGUCAAGUCAUCAUGCCCCUUAUGUCCAGGGCUUCACGCAUGCUACAAUGGCUGGUACAGAGAGUGGCGAGCCUGUGAGGGUGAGCGAAUCUCGGAAAGCCGGUCUCAGUUCGGAUUGGGGUCUGCAACUCGACCUCAUGAAGUCGGAGUCGCUAGUAAUCGCAGAUCAAGAGCGCUGCGGUGAAUACGUUCCCGGGGCUUGUACACACCGCCCGUCAAGUCAUGAAAGUUGGUAACACCCGCCGCAGAGGGCCUAACCGUUGUGGGGGAGCCGUCGAA